GACGAACGCUGGCGGCGUGCUUAACACAUGCAAGUCGAACGGAAAGGCCCUGCUUUUGUGGGGUGCUCGAUUGGCGAACGGGUGAGUAACACGUGAGUAACCUGCCCUUGUCUUUGGGAUAACUUCAGGAAACUGGGGCUAAUACCGCAUAGGAGCUCCUGCUGCAUGGUGGGGGUUGGAAAGUUUCGGCGGUUGGGGAUGGACUCGCGGCUUAUCAGCUUGUUGGUGGGGUAGUGGAUUACCAAGGCUUUGACGGGUAGCCGGCCUGAGAGGGUGAACGGCCACAUUGGGACUGAGAUACGGCCCAGACUCCUACGGGAGGCAGCAGUGGAGAAUAUUGCACAAUGGGCGGAAGCCUGAUGCAGCAACGCCGCGUGCGGGAUGACGGCCUUCGGGUUGUAAACCGCUUUCGCCUGUGACGAAGCGUGAGUGACGGUAAUGGGUAAAGAAGCACCGGCUAACUACGUG
rnacentral:rRNA from 1 species